AGUGUCCACAAGGUGGGAACAUCAGGUCUUCCAUGCUAAGCUUUGCUAUUCCAAACGCUCCCUGCUCCCUAGACUAGAGGAAGCCUCCUGCCCCACACUUUCCCUUUCCCACCGUUCAAUUCCCUGUUCUAUUCUGCAGUGCCUGUGGGGAACGGGAGAUUCCCAGGAGGGGGGCCCACAGAAGUGCAGCUGGCGGAGCCUCACUGCUGAGUCACUUUCCGAGCACUCUUGCAGUUCUUUUUUUGGGAGCUUGAGAAAUACAUCCACAGUGCAAAACUAUUUGGUCAACAUUUACUUACUGAGGGACUUCCUUUGUGACAAGCACUAUAAUUUCCGGGUAAACUAAACUGAACCAAUGCUGGCCGGCCCCUUUCUCCCACCAGCUGGGAGGGAGACCUCUGUCAGUCUGUGCCUCCGUAAAUUGUAGGCCACCCCAGGACUUUGUCCAGUCCCUCCCUGCCCAUUCAGAGCCUGGCACGGGACCAGCACAUUGGUCCCAUUCACUGCCGUUGGACUUCGGCUUGAUGUGAUGGGGGAGGCAGACACGUCAAUCAACAACCGCAGCUGGACACAAGACAGAAGUGAAAAGACGUGACACUGGUGGUCACAGGCUGCAGCUCCUGCUCAGAGAAAGGCGCCCAGUGGGAAUCCAGCCUGCACACUAGAGAGAAGAGCAUGGCCUGCUGCCUAAGUACACUCCCACAACCCUCCCUCUGCCUUUGUUUCUCAGGAUCACUCUAGCCUGCCCACUGAGAACAGAAAGAGCAAAGCUGGCAUGAUAACAGCUUGCAAUGGAGAAAGAGAAAGACCUGUCUGUAUUCUGGAUCUACAGUAGAGGUAGAAUCAAACCGACCUUCUUAAUAGAUUCUGGGUUGGGAAAAGGAAGUCAAGGGACUGUACAAGGUAUGUAUCUCAACGGUAGAGCACAUGCUAUGCCCUGGGUUUGAGUUCCAGCACUAGAAAAGAAAGUAAAGGCAAAAAAACUCAGGGACAUCUCUAUGACUGUUAGUUUAAACUCCUCUAGCAACGCAUUUGCUAUUUACUUUUAGGGCAAAGACAAAAAGGAGAUUUGAUUAGAUGUCUACUGGUCACCAAGUGGUGAUUUCCACCACUACAUUAGAGAUACCUGUGGAUCUGACAAUCUCCCAUUCACAUAUUUAUGCCCUUGACUGGUAAAGAUCUGACUCCCAUGUUUAGGGAGUGACUACAGAGGGAUCCUAUAGGUCAGAAAAAUGAGAAAUCAGCAAAGGAGACUACCAAAUAACACCCAGAGAAGAGCAGAAAGAGAAGGCCAAGGAAUGUGUUGAGAUUCAUAUCUAAUCCUGGAAUCUGAGCUUCCCCUGAUAAAAUUUUUAUAUCACAGAAAUGAUAAAAAAUAACCUCUAGGAAAUUAAUAUUCUUUGGCCUAAAAUGAUAAUCUUGAGUGUUUUCCUGAAUGCUUAAGAAAAUUGACACCUCCCAUUUCCUGAGUACUUUGCUCAUUCACUGAUACAUUUAACUAGUCUAUGCCAGGUGCUGGAUUAGGGCCCGCAGAAAAUACAGAUAAAUUCACACUUUUUUUUUUUAAAAUCUCUGGCCUUAAACCACUCCUAUAAGGCGGAGACAAGCUGUAAACAUGCAAACCACCCAUCUAGAAGUCUGUCAAGUAGACACCACGGAUUAGGACGGCACGUCGGGGAUAGAGGGAGGGCAGGGGACAUUAAGGUAGGUGGGCCCAAUCUGCCAACAGCAUGGUAACAUCACUAACUUACCUUUUCACUAUUCCCUUCAGAGUGCGGAAGGCGGGAAGCACAAUCUUGCCAGACAGGUAUCGUGAGUCACUUCCCCAGCACACCAAAAUGCGACUCUUUUAAGUUACCCAGGCCUUAGCUCCGAACCUCAGGACCUCCCGAGACCCAAAGGACCCCGCCUUUAAACCCCUGGAGCCGGACGCACUACAGAUCCCACCUGCCCUAGCGCGCCCCGCAGCCCACCGAACCAGUCCCGCCGCCGCGGGGACACCUGGGGGCUGUAGUCUCCACUGCCCGAC